UACAGAGGUGGCAAGCGUUGUUCGGAAUUACUGGGCGUAAAGGGCGCGUAGGCGGCCUGUUAAGUCGAACGUGAAAUCCCCGGGCUCAACCCGGGAACUGCGUCCGAUACUGGCAGGCUUGAAUCCGGGAGAGGGAUGUGGAAUUCCAGGUGUAGCGGUGAAAUGCGUAGAUAUCUGGAGGAACACCGGUGGCGAAGGCGGCAUCCUGGACCGGCAUUGACGCUGAGGCGCGAAAGCCAGGGGAGCAAACGGG
rnacentral:rRNA from 1 species